GAUGAACGCUGACAGAAUGCUUAACACAUGCAAGUCAACUUGAAUUUGGGUUUUUAACUUAGGUUUGGGUGGCGGACGGGUGAGUAACGCGUAAAGAACUUGCCUCACAGCUAGGGACAACAUUUGGAAACGAAUGCUAAUACCUAAUAUUAUGAUAAUAGGGCAUCCUAUAAUUAUGAAAGCUAUAAGCGCUGUGAGAGAGCUUUGCGUCCCAUUAGCUAGUUGGAGAGGUAACGGCUCACCAAGGCGAUGAUGGGUAGCCGGCCUGAGAGGGUGAUCGGCCACAAGGGGACUGAGACACGGCCCUUACUCCUACGGGAGGCAGCAGUGGGGAAUAUUGGACAAUGGACCGAGAGUCUGAUCCAGCAAUUCUGUGUGCACGAUGAAGUUUUUCGGAAUGUAAAGUGCUUUCAGUUGGGAAGAAACAAAUGACGGCACCAACAGAAGAAGUGACGGCUAAAUACGUG
rnacentral:rRNA from 1 species